rnacentral:rRNA from 1 species
CGAACGAAGCAUAGGAGUGGAAUUUUUCGGAAGGAAACAACUAUGACUGAGUGGCGGACGGGUGAGUAACGCGUGGGUAACCUGCCUCAUACAGGGGGAUAACAGUUAGAAAUGACUGCUAAUACCGCAUAAGCGCACAAAACCGCAUGGUUUGGUGUGAAAAACUGAGGUGGUAUGAGAUGGACCCGCGUCUGAUUAGCUAGUUGGAGAGGUAACGGCUCACCAAGGCAACGAUCAGUAGCCGACCUGAGAGGGUGACCGGCCACAUUGGGACUGAGACACGGCCCAAACUCCUACGGGAGGCAGCAGUGGGGAAUAUUGCACAAUGGGGGAAACCCUGAUGCAGCAACGCCGCGUGGGUGAAGAAGUAUUUCGGUAUGUAAAGCCCUAUCAGCAGGGAAGAAGAGAGACGGUACCUGACUAAGAAGCCCCGGCUAACUACGUGCCAGCAGCCGCGGUAGUACGUAGGGGGCAAGCGUUAUCCGGAUUUACUGGGUGUAAAGGGAGCGUAGACGGCUUGAUAAGUCUGAAGUGAAAGGCCAAGGCUUAACCAUGGAACUGCUUUGGAAACUAUGAGGCUAGAGUGCUGGAGAGGUAAAGCGGAAUUCCUAGUGUAGCGGUGAAAUGCGUAAAUAUUAAGAAGAACCCCAUUGGCCAAAGCCGGCUUACUGGACCGAAACUGACCUUGAAGCCCCAAAAGCUUGGGGACCUUUUUACAAAAGAGACCNNGGNAGNCCACAAGGNGGAAGGACCUUGUAUGGAAAGGUGGUGGGCAAAGCCCAUCGGUGCCGUCGCAAACGCAAUAAGCAUUCCACCUGGGGAGUACGUUCGCAAGAAUGAAACUCAAAGGAAUUGACGGGGACCCGCACAAGCGGUGGAGCAUGUGGUUUAAUUCGAAGCAACGCGAAGAACCUACCAAGUCUUGACAUCCUCCUGAAUGAUGGGUAAAGCCAUCAGGCCUUCGGGACAGGAGAGACAGGUGGUGCAUGGUUGUCGUCAGCUCGUGUCGUGAGAUGUUGGGUUAAGUCCCGCAACGAGCGCAACCCUUAUCAUUAGUAGCCAGCAGGUAGAGCUGGGGACUCUAGUGAGACUGCCAGGGAGAACCUGGAGGAAGGUGGGGAUGACGUCAAAUCAUCAUGCCCCUUAUGAUUUGGGCUACACACGUGCUACAAUGGCGUAAACAGAGGGAGGCGAAAGUGAGAGCUGGAGCGAACCCCAAAAAUAACGUCUCAGUUCGGAUUGUAGUCUGCAACUCGACUACAUGAAGCUGGAAUCGCUAGUAAU